AGCUGUGAUGAGUAAGAGAGUAUGACCCGGUAUUGCAAGAGUUAAUUUUGCAUUGACCAGGAAAUGAUCACCUAAUCUUCUCUCUGAGCUG